GUGCUCGCUUCGGCAGCACAUACACUAAAAUUGGAACGAUACAGAGAAGAUUAGCAUGGCCCUUGCGCAAGGAUGAUAUAUCUGCCUAAUGGAGUAUUAUGCAGUCAU